rnacentral:lncRNA from 1 species
UCCCGCUCUCCUCCCGCUCUCCUCCCGCCUCCUUCUUCCAGGCGCGGCCAGCGGGGGCAAGAGCGAGGUGGCUGCGAGGAGGCGUCACUGAAAGCCCUGACUUGGGGAAGGCUGCGGGCUCGGAGCCGGAGACGCCGAGCUGGGGCCGGGUGAGUUGGGAAGCAGACUCUUGAGUUGACAGCUGGCCUAUGGUUUCUGCAUUUUGUUAAGAAGCACCUCAUGCAAGUGAGGGACCUGGGACUGCUCACAGCCAGGUGGCAUUUUUCUGAAACUGUUGAUUAAGACUUCCCAGCAUUCCUACAGAUAUAAAUAGGUAAGU